UGUUGACCGUGAAUGCAUUCGUACACGCGCUUCGUGGAUUUUUUUCUUGCAUAAAAAUAGAUUUUCUAAAUCGCGACCAGAUAGUCUUUGUGAUUGGUCAAGCGGGAUGAUUUGCAGGAAGCGAGCGUAGAAGUCGCAAUUCCAAAAGUGGGCUUACGGGUUUUAGAAAAUUUUUGAACAGUAAUUAUGUAACGCAAUGCCAUUAUCUAGAAACUCAUUUCUUCACGGAAUCACAGCUGUAAUACUACCACCAUACGGAUUUCACUUUAAUUACGCCACUGGUUUGUAAUUAAAAAUCUGUAUCGGUUAUUAUGGAGCUUCUGGUCUUGACAUUCAUUCGUUUAUCGGCUAAAUGUUCUAGUAGAACCGCUUCGUUUACUGGCCCUAAGGGGAAGGUGAAAUUUGUGUUUCAGUGGGACAAGUUCAUUGUCUACCAUUCAUUUUCUUCUUUGCUUUCAUAUUGUGUCUUGUGACAGCUGCUGAUUCCUUAGAAAAUGAACGUCAUCAAAGGAUAAAGUGACAUUAUUAGCGAAAUAUUAGUCUCAAUUGGAAGGCAUUCUGUAAUGGUAUUGUCCAAAGGGAUUUCGUUACCCCUCUGUCAACAUUUUUGUGUCGUUACGUAUACAGGAGGAGUUAAAUUAAUUAAAAAGGGGAAUUAAUGGAGCUGAAACUGUAUUGAAUUUUUCGUAGGUUUUGUUGAAUUAGAUUACAAUGGUUGAAUUUCAGCUGUUUUAAAUAUUUACAUUGCUAUUGUGUAUAUUGGAAAUAAAAUGUUUUAGUAAUGUUUUCAAUAA